GAUGAACGCUAGCUACAGGCUUAACACAUGCAAGUCGCGGGGCAGCAUGGGGGUUGCUUGCAAUCCCCGAUGGCGACCGGCGCACGGGUGAGUAACGCGUAUUCAACCUGCCCUUCACCACGGGAUAACCCGGCGAAAGUCGGACUAAUACCGUAUGUUGUCCAUUGACGGCAUCCGAUUUGGACGAAAGGCUUGGCGGUGAGGGAUGGGGAUUCGUCCGAUUAGCCAGACGGCGGGGUAACGGCCCACCGUGGCUACGAUCGGUAGGGGUUCUGAGAGGAAGGUCCCCCACACUGGAACUGAGACACGGUCCAGACUCCUACGGGAGGAAGCAGUGAGGAAGAUUGGUCAAUGGGCGUAAGCCUGAACCAGCCAAGUAGCGUGCAGGAUGACGGCCCUAUGGGUUGUAAACUGCUUUUAUGCGGGGAUAAAGUGGCCCACGGGUGGGCUUUUGCAGGUACCGCAUGAAUAAGGACCGGCUAAUUCCGUG
rnacentral:rRNA from 1 species